UUUGGUGACGAUAGCGGAAGGGAACCACGCGUACCCAUCCCGAACACGGCCGUUAAGCCUUCCAGCGCCGAUGGUACUUGGACCGGAAGGGUCCUGGGAGAGUAGGACGUUGCCAAGC
rnacentral:rRNA from 1 species